UACGGGGGGAGCAACCGUUGCUCGGAAUUAUUGGGCGUAAAGCGUACGUAGGUGGCUAUCUAAGUCGGCUGUGAAAUCCCUCGGCUUAACCAAGGAAGUGCACCCGAAACUGGAUAGCUUGAGUACAGAAGAGGAUCGCGGAAUUCCCGGUGUAGAGGUGAAAUUCGUAGAUAUCGGGAGGAACACCAGUGGCGAAGGCAGCGAUCUAGGCUGAUACUGACGCUGAGGUGCGAAAGCGUGGGGAGCAAACAGG
rnacentral:rRNA from 1 species